AUCUCAGGUCCGUCAGCCCAUG
rnacentral:miRNA from 1 species